rnacentral:misc_RNA from 1 species
GAACUGCGAUAAGUAAUGUGAAUUGCAGAAUUCAGUGAAUCAUCGAGUCUUUGAACGCACAUUGCGCCCCCUGGCAUUCCGGGGGGCAUGCCUGUCCGAGCGUCAUUGCUGCCCUUCAAGCCCGGCUUGUGUGUUGGGUCGUCGUCCCCUCCGGGGGACGGGCCCGAAAGGCAGCGGCGGCACCGCGUCCGGUCCUCGAGCGUAUGGGGCUUUGUCACCCGCUCGAUAAGGACCGGCUGGGCGCCAGCCGGCGUCUCCAACCUUUUUUUCUCAGGUUGACCUCGGAUCAGGUAGGGAUACCCGCUGAACUUAAGC